rnacentral:snoRNA from 1 species
AUUCUGUGCAUUUGAGGUGGCAAAUUAAUUGAAUAUUUGUUUACCGUGAUCUACACAGAUAGAUUAAAUUGGAUCGAUUUCCGUGUUAAAUCAACUGAAAGUGUGAUGUUAACCCCGUAAGAUUCAUACA